UCGGUAUGCAAACGAAAAGCGUCCGUGAAGCCCCAGUCUUUGAUGUGCUGUAACGCUGCAUGCUCCUGUUCGCUGAACAUGAUGCGUCCCCGCCAGAGUCGUGGAUCGUGAACGUCGCGUUCCUCCGGAGCGACAUUGAAAUCGCCACACAGCAAUACCGGCUUCGUUCGAUCGUAGUUUGCGUCAAAGAACUCACGCAGCCGGUUCAUCCACUCGAGCUUGAAGCCAAACUUUUCCGAACCCACCAUCUGCCCAUUCGGAAUGUAGACAUUGACGAUAUCAAUGCCUUCGACAGUGCUGGUGAUUAAUCGCGACUGCGCGGUUGCAUCGUCGCCCGGAUAUCCACGGUG
rnacentral:misc_RNA from 1 species